rfam:Ricinus communis cultivar Hale ctg_1100012291087, whole genome shotgun sequence.
CUGGAAUGAUGUUGCUUAGCCAAAUCAGACAUGGAUAUGCUCCAUAAGGCAAUGUCUUCGAUGCUUGUGUUGAUUGUUCUUCUAGA